AUGCACGCUGGCGGCGUGCCUAAUACAUGCAAGUCGAGCGAACAGACGAGGAGCUUGCUCCUCUGACGUUAGCGGCGGACGGGUGAGUAACACGUGGAUAACCUACCUAUAAGACUGGGAUAACUUCGGGAAACCGGAGCUAAUACCGGAUAAUAUAUUGAACCGCAUGGUUCAAUAGUGAAAGACGGUUUUGCUGUCACUUAUAGAUGGAUCCGCGCCGCAUUAGCUAGUUGGUAAGGUAACGGCUUACCAAGGCAACGAUGCGUAGCCGACCUGAGAGGGUGAUCGGCCACACUGGAACUGAGACACGAUCCAGACUCCUACGGGAGGCAGCAGUAGGGAAUCUUCCGCAAUGGGCGAAAGCCUGACGGAGCAACGCCGCGUGAGUGAUGAAGGUCUUCGGAUCGUAAAACUCUGUUAUUAGGGAAGAACAAAUGUGUAAGUAACUAUGCACGUCUUGACGGUACCUAAUCAGAAAGCCACGGCUAACUACGUG
rnacentral:rRNA from 1 species